AACGAACGCUGGCGGCAGGCCUAAAACAUGCAAGUCGAACGAACCUUCGGGUUAGUGGCGCACAGGUGAGUAACGCGUGGGAAUGUGCCUCUGGGUGCGGAACAACGUCGGGAAACUGACGCUAAUACCGCAUAAUGUCUUCGGACCAAAGAUUUAUCGCCCAGAGAUCAGCCCGCGUUAGAUUAGGUAGUUGGGGGGGUAAUGGCCUACCAGGCCUACGAUCUAUAGCUGGUCUGAGAGGAUGAUCAGCCACACUGGAACUGAGACACGGUCCAGACUUCUACGGGAGGCAGCAGUUAGGAAUAUUGGACAAUGGGCGCAAGCCUGAUCCAGCCAUGCCGCGUGGGUGACGAAGGCCGUAGGGUUGUAAAGCACUUUCGUCCGCGAAGAUAAUGACAGUACCGGAAGAAGAAGCUCCGACUAAAUUCGUACCAGCCGCCGCCGUAA
rnacentral:rRNA from 1 species